rnacentral:rRNA from 1 species
AGAUGGGAGCUUGCUCCCUGAUGUUAGCGGCGGACGGGUGAGUAACACGUGGGUAACCUGCCUGUAAGACUGGGAUAACUCCGGGAAACCGGGGCUAAUACCGGAUGGUUGUUUGAACCGCAUGGUUCAAACAUAAAAGGUGGCUUCGGCUACCACUUACAGAUGGACCCGCGGCGCAUUAGCUAGUUGGUGAGGUAAGGCUCACCAAGGCAACGAUGCGUAGCCGACCUGAGAGGGUGAUCGGCCACACUGGGACUGAGACACGGCCCAGACUCCUACGGGAGGCAGCAGUAGGGAAUCUUCCGCAAUGGACGAAAGUCUGACGGAGCAACGCCGCGUGAGUGAUGAAGGUUUUCGGAUCGUAAAGCUCUGUUGUUAGGGAAGAACAAGUACCGUUCGAAUAGGGCGGUACCUUGACGGUACCUAACCAGAAAGCCACGGCUAACUACGUGCCAGCAGCCGCGGUAAUACGUAGGUGGCAAGCGUUGUCCGGAAUUAUUGGGCGUAAAGGGCUCGCAGGCGGUUUCUUAAGUCUGAUGUGAAAGCCCCCGGCUCAACCGGGGAGGGUCAUUGGAAACUGGGGAACUUGAGUGCAGAAGAGGAGAGUGGAAUUCCACGUGUAGCGGUGAAAUGCGUAGAGAUGUGGAGGAACACCAGUGGCGAAGGCGACUCUCUGGUCUGUAACUGACGCUGAGGAGCGAAAGCGUGGGGAGCGAACAGGAUUAGAUACCCUGGUAGUCCACGCCGUAAACGAUGAGUGCUAAGUGUUAGGGGGUUUCCGCCCCUUAGUGCUGCAGCUAACGCAUUAAGCACUCCGCCUGGGGAGUACGGUCGCAAGACUGAAACUCAAAGGAAUUGACGGGGGCCCGCACAAGCGGUGGAGCAUGUGGUUUAAUUCGAA